rnacentral:rRNA from 1 species
UGGGGGAUAUUGCACAAUGGGCGAAAGCCUGAUGCAGCGACGCCGCGUGGGGGAUGAAGGCCUUCGGGUUGUAAACUUCUUUUGCUCUGAACAAGGCAUGCCUUUGGGGUGUGUUGAGUGUAGGGGUUGAUUAGCGCCGGCUAACUACGUGCCAGCAGCCUCGGUAAUACGUAGGGCGCGAGCGUUGUCCGGAAUUAUUGGGCGUAAAGGGCUUGUAGGUGGCUGGUUGCGUCUGUCGUGAAAGCUCAUGGCUUAACUGUGGGUUUGCGGUGGGUACGGGCUGGCUUGAGUGCAGUAGGGGAGGCUGGAAUUCCUGGUGUAGCGGUGGAAUGCGCAGAUAUCAGGAGGAAUACCGGUGGCGAAGGCGGGUCUCUGGGCUGUUACUGACGCUGAGGAGCGAAAGCGUGGGGAGCGAACAGG